rnacentral:lncRNA from 1 species
AUGACUUCCCUGGCCUGCGCCUCUCUCUCUCUCCCCGCCCCUCUCCCCCUCUUUCUCCAUCUCCCCCUCUCCCCCAGCAGCUUUGCUCUUCUCAGAGCCAAUCUCUUGGGAAAGGAAAGCAGUACAAUGCUGAAUGGGGAGACUUCAGCAGGUGAGGAGGAAAGGGAGAGGGUGUGGUAUUCUUUUUCUCCACCACACCCUAUCCCUGGAGUCUUGCACUCUGUCCACUGCGGCUCAGAAAGGGCACAGCGGGUCCCCUCGCUCACCUCAGAGCAGUUCGGCCCAGGCCAGCCACCCGGGCGCUCUCCACAGAAAACUUCCCUUACAGCACACAAAUAUUCAGGCAAGACGGACGAAAUUAAGAAAUUAGUUCGAAUACACAUUUCCCGGGAGCACCAAGGAGACCGAAAGGCACCUUUCCACGUAGAGCCUGUAGACUCGCUUGUACCCUUUGCUCCCUCUCACCUGGGUAGUGGAAAUACAUCGGGAACCCAGGGAGUUGGAGGGACCAAGGGAGAGAGGAGAAAGGGGGCAUUACCUCCCGGGGCUGCCUUUCGGGCGCGGACCAGGAUCGAGUCCCCGAAGUGGUUCCAGCUCAGGGCACUGCUUUCCAAAGCUCAGCCGGAAUUCGGACCCUCGGCACCGAGGCGCAGCGCGCAGCUCGGACGUGCGCCGGGACUCCAGCUCACGUCCCCCGACCCGGCCAGGCUCGCCUCCCCCUGCCGCGCCGGCUCCGCCACCCCGCGGGCACGCUUGCUCCCCGCGGUCGCCUCUCCGCCUCCCGGCACCCCACACCCACCCGCUCCGCGGCGCCCGCUGGGAGCCUCUAGCGGAGGCGAAGGGAACCGCAGCCGACCGCUGCCGGGGCUCCGACGCCGGCUGCAGGGAGCCGGCCAGGCGGCGGCGUGGGCUUCGCACGGCCCCCAAUCCGCGAGCCCGAUGCCGUCGCCGCCCCCACCUGCCUACCUGCGCCAGCCUCACCUGCCACCGCGUCCUGGACGCGUCCACCGGUAUUCACAGCUCUCUAUGGCAACGAGGGGGUGGGUCUGA